rnacentral:rRNA from 1 species
UUUGCCUAUGGGAGGCAGCAGUGGGGAAUAUUGCACAAUGGGGGAAACCCUGAUGCAGCGACGCCGCGUGAGUGAAGAAGUAAUUCGUUACGUAAAGCUCUAUCAGCAGGGAAGAAAUACUGACCUUACGGUCAGCAGACGGUACCUGGGUAAGAAGCCCCGGCUAACUACGUGCCAGCAGCCGCGGUAAUACGUAGGGGGCAAGCGUUAUCCGGAUUUACUGGGUGUAAAGGGAGCGUAGACGGCUGUGCAAGUCUGAAGUGAAAUGCCGGGGCCCAACCCCGGAACUGCUUUGGAAACUGUAC